GGCUGAAUGGCAGAGUGGUUAUGCAGCGGACUGCAAAUCCGUUGACGUCGGUUCAAUUCCGGCUUCAGCCU
rnacentral:tRNA from 1 species